GCUCCUGUGGUGUAGCCCGGUCAAUCAUUCAGCCCUUUCAAGGCUGGGACCCGGGUUCAAAUCCCGGCGGGAGCA
rnacentral:tRNA from 1 species